GAUGAACGCUGGCGGCGUGCCUAAUACAUGCAAGUCGAGCGAACAGACGAGAAGCUUGCUUCUCUGAUGUUAGCGGCGGACGGGUGAGUAACACGUGGAUAACCUACCUAUAAGACUGGGAUAACUUCGGGAAACCGGAGCUAAUACCGGAUAAUAUUUUGAACCGCAUGGUUCAAAAGUGAAAGACGGUCUUGCUGUCACUUAUAGAUGGAUCCGCGCUGCAUUAGCUAGUUGGUAAGGUAACGGCUUACCAAGGCAACGAUGCAUAGCCGACCUGAGAGGGGGAUCGGCCAAACUGGAACUGAGCAACGGUCAGGACUCCUACGGAAGGAAGAAGUAGGGAAUCUUCCGAAAUGGGCGAAAGCCUGACGGAGCAACGCGGCGUGAGUGAUGAGGGUCUUCGGAUCGUAAAACUCUGUUAUUAGGGAAGAACAUAUGUGUAAGUAACUGUGAAGAUCUUGACGGUACCAAAUCAGAAAGCAACGGCGAACUACGU
rnacentral:rRNA from 1 species